rnacentral:rRNA from 1 species
CACGUAGGGCGCAAGCGUUGUCCGGAAUUAUUGGGCGUAAAGAGCUCGUAGGCGGUCUGUUGCGUCCGCUGUGAAAACUCGGGGCUUAACCCCGAGCCUGCAGUGGAUACGGGCAGACUAGAGGUAGGUAGGGGAGAAUGGAAUUCCCGGUGUAGCGGUGAAAUGCGUAGAUAUCGGAAGGAACGCCGGUGGCGAAAGCGGCGUGCUGGACCCCACCUGACGCUGAGGCGCGAAAGCCAGGGGAGCAAACGGG